rnacentral:rRNA from 1 species
UACGUAGGGGGCAAGCGUUGUCCGGAAUCAUUGGGCGUAAAGAGCGUGUAGGCGGCUUGGUAAGUCCGCUGUGAAAGUCCAGGGCUCAACCCUGGAAUGCCGGUGGAAACUGUCAAGCUUGAGUCCGGAAGAGGCGAGUGGAAUUCCUGGUGUAGCGGUGAAAUGCGCAGAUAUCAGGAGGAACACCAAUGGCGAAGGCAGCUCGCUGGGACGGUACUGACGCUGAGGCGCGAAAGCUAGGGGAGCAAACAGG